UGGCAGACGGGUGAGUUAACGCGUGGGAACCUACCUUAUUCUACGGAAUAACAGUUUAGAAAUGACUGCUAAUACCGUAUACGCCCUUCGGGGGAAAGAUUUAUCGGAGUAGGAUGGGCCCGCGUUGGAUUAGCUAGUUGGUGGGGUAAUGGCCUACCAAGGCGACGAUCUAUAGCUGGUCUGAGAGGAUGAUCAGCCACACUGGGACUGAGACACGGCCCAGACUCCUACGGGAGGCAGCAGUGGGGAAUAUUGGACAAUGGGCGCAAGCCUGAUCCAGCCAUGCCGCGUGAGUGAUGAAGGCCUUAGGGUUGUAAAGCUCUUUCAACGGUGAAGAUAAUGACGGUAACCGUAGAAGAAGCCCCGGCUAACUUCGUGCCAGCAGCCGCGGUAAUACGAAGGGGGCUAGCGUUGUUCGGAAUUACUGGGCGUAAAGCGUACGUAGGCGGAUUAGAAAGUUAGGGGUGAAAUCCCAGGGCUCAACCCUGGAACUGCCUCUAAAACUCCUAAUCUUGAGUUCGAGAGAGGUGAGUGGAAUUCCGAGUGUAGAGGUGAAAUUCGUAGAUAUUCGGAGGAACACCAGUGGC
rnacentral:rRNA from 1 species